UACGUAGGGGGCCAGCGUUGUCCGGAAUCAUUGGGCGUAAAGCGCGCGUAGGCGGUCAGGUAAGUCCGGUGUGAAAGUCAAAGGCUCAACCUUUGAAUGCCGCUGGAAACUGCCUGACUUGAGUCCGGAAGGGGCGAGUGGAAUUCCUGGUGUAGCGGUGAAAUGCGCAGAUAUCAGGAGGAACACCAAUUGCGAAGGCAGCUCGCUGGGACGUUACUGACGCUGAGACGCGAAAGCGUGGGGAGCAAACAGG
rnacentral:rRNA from 1 species